UGUUGAAGGAAUUGUUCUGAAUUGGUUCCAUAUAAACUGAAUUGAAUUAAAAGUUAUUCAUAGAAACACUAAAGUUAUGUGUAAAGUGUUUACUGGGGUCCCCAUACACUUCACAGGAGUCGCCCCCUGUUGGCUGAUAUAAAUAAUGCUGUCUUAAACCACAUGGGCUUCUUGAAGCUAUGCCCAUCUUUUAUAUACAGUCUCUGAUUUGGGUCCAUGAUUAUUUAAGGCGCUGGUUUUAUCGAGUAUCUGUUUCCAAUCAACGACAACAUAAAAACGUCCCCAUUUAAAUGUUAACAUUGAAACAUGUUCAUAGACUAUAAAGAGCAUCUGUUACCUGCUACCCACAAAAAAGUUUGUGUUUGUGGUUGUAAAGCUGCGUGGUUACAAGCAGCAGGAAGAACAGGCGUGUUCACAGAGGCCGAGUUCCUGUUCUCAGAUCACACAGGAACUAUUCAGACACUUCCCACUGUGUCAGGAUGAAGGUGAAGAUCUUCUGCUGCCUGUUAGCCUGCACUCUGGGCUCUAAUGUCACUGCUGGUUUAACCCAUGAAGUAUUUAAGGAGGGGACACAGGUCAGUCUGCGCUGUCCUCACUCUGUGGAGGGUAAAGUGAGGUGGAGCAGAGAGAGUGGAGGAAACAGAACUGACAUACUUACAGCUGAUGGAGACGGAAAUAUAAAACACAUCAAUGAUCCACAGAAACGAUACAGUUCACUGGCUGAUCGAUCUCUGAUCAUCGUCAGAGCUUCUGUCUCAGACUCUGGCAGAUACUUCUGUAACCAUGAAGCAGCUGUGGAGCUGACAGUGAUCCCAUCAGGAACUAAAAUAGUGAGUGUUGCAGAGAGGAGCAGCAUCACUCUGAACUGUUCUCAUGAUGUUGGAGGAUCAGCUGUUCCAACAUGGAGCAGAGACUCUGGAGAAAUAAAUGAAGGAAGGAUUUCUGUUCCCACUGAGGACAAAACAUUAAGUAUAAGAGAAGCUGAGCCUGCUGACUCUGGACUGUACUACUGUGAUGGAAAACCAGCUGUUUAUCUGAAUGUGACCAAAGGACAGAGAUCUGACAGAGAUAAUAUGACAACAACAACAACUACUACUACAAAAACAACAACAACACCAACUACUGCUACAACUCAUAAAGCAUCAGUAACACCUGCAUCACCCACUGAGGCUCCAUCAGUGCAGAGUUUCCUGAUUGGAACUGGUCUUCUUCUUCUCUCCACCCUCAUCCUCAUCACUGUCUACUUCAUUUGGAGAUGCAGGUCCAACAGACGAGGGGAUGACAAACAGGGCCACGUCUAUGAUGAGAUACCAGCUGGAGCAGAACUUCAUGUUGUAAAUGGAGGCUCAAACCACAGUGAUGCCACAUACGACACCAUCGCUGAGCUGCCACAGACUGGAAACAACACCAGUAACACCUGUGCUGCACUGAACCUUCACAGUCACAGAUUUAACCAAACGUUCUGCUGAUACUUCGUCUCCUUCCACCUUCAUGCUGCAUCUAAUCAAAAUAUUUCAUUUACAGAUUUUCCACAUUCCUUGACUGCUUCCACUUUUCAUGCUGGAAAUAAUAAAGGUAACUUAAAUUAUUGCUUCUGAUUUGGACGUGUACUAAAAGAGCCACACAUGAGUUAUUUUUGGAUAACCCAAAAUU
rnacentral:lncRNA from 1 species